rfam:Macrophomina phaseolina MS6 contig01068, whole genome shotgun sequence.
GGAGAGAUACCCCUAAUUGGUAAGGGAGCUGAUUGUAACUCAGUCAGGCAUACGCCUACUACAGGUUCAAGUCCUGUUCUCUUCA